rnacentral:rRNA from 1 species
UGGGGAAUUUUGGACAAUGGGGGAAACCCUGAUCCAGCCAUCCCGCGUGUGCGAUGAAGGCCUUCGGGUUGUAAAGCACUUUUGGCAGGAAAGAAACGUCAUGGGUUAAUACCCCGUGAAACUGACGGUACCUGCAGAAUAAGCACCGGCUAACUACGUGCCAGCAGCCGCGGUAAUACGUAGGGUGCAAGCGUUAAUCGGAAUUACUGGGCGUAAAGCGUGCGCAGGCGGUUCGGAAAGAAAGAUGUGAAAGCCCAGAGCUCAACUUUGGAACUGCAUUUUUAACUACCGGGCUAGAGGGUGUCAGAGGGGGGUGGAAUUCUGCGUGUAGCAGUGAAAUGCGUAGAUAUGCGGAGGAACACCGAUGGCGAAGGCAGCCUCCUGGAAUAACACUGAAACUCAUGAACGAAAGCGUGGGGAGCAAACAGG